CCAGCUCUCUUUGCCAUUAUGGCUUAGAUCAAGUGUAGUAUCUGUUCUUUUCAGUUUAAUCUCUGAAAGUAUUCUAAGGAAUACAACAUUGAUUAAUCUUAUUUUUGGAUCCCGCAGGAAAACCUCUGUGCUUGCGCAUGUUUUCCGGCACUGUGUCAUCAGUCUUACACUACCGCUGAUUGACGCGAAUUUUC
rnacentral:snRNA from 1 species